GCCCAUUUGCAUACCAUCCGUCAACUAAUUCAACUCGCGUCGCGAAUUAGACGUCGCCUUCCGAGAACCGAGUCGCCCCUCCAUGCCGCCGGCCAUCCCCUCUUGCUCCAGGCGAGGAGGAAGCUAAGAAGGGAUCUGUUUCUCGAACUCAUCGUUUUGAGCGCAAGGUUUUUGAGAAUUUGACUCACUAAAUUAAACGUGUCUUGGCGAGUUUCUGUACAGCCCAUGGCCUCCAUCCCUUCAGACAGUCUUGGAGUGAAUCCCAGACCUGGGGGACCUUAGCUUGUGCCUGUGGCCAUGGUGGUGGUGUCCAUUCUCUUUUACUUCUGUCUUCUCUGAGUCCUCUUCUUUACCAUUCUCCGCUGAUACUGUGUAGAUGAAAGGGCCGACUGGUAUGUCCUCCAUUUCCAAGAGAGGCUCCAAGUUCUCAACAAUGGUUGACAUCUGAGGCCUGGAUUUUGGGGUAUGGCUCAAGCACUGGUAGGCCACAGCAGCUGCCUUCUGGGCGCACUUGGUGGAGUACUGGCCCUCAAGGCUGGGGUCCAUGAUGCGGUUUAGCUUCCGCGCGUCAUUUAGACAUGGCCUUGCCCAUUCCACAAGGUUCUGCUCUCUGCUUGGUCGAGUCUUGUCGACAGACCGCCUCCCUGUCAGUAGCUCAAGCAACACAACUCCGAAGCUAUAGACAUCGCUCUUGGCUGUGAGAUGGCCUAGUAACGGAGCAAAUUGAUUAUGAACUCAUGCAAAGUUAAUCGCAAGAAGGGAAGUAGAUCAUGUUGAAGGCUGCAUCUUGUUGCAUACCUGUCAUGAUGUAUUCUGGCGCAGCAUAGCCCUCCGUGCCCAUGACUCGGGUCGAAACGUGGGUGUCAUCUCCUUCUGGACCAUCCUUCGCAAGUCCAAAAUCUGAGAGCUUUGCUUUAUAGUCCUGAGGAUUAAUGGAGCAUGCUCUUAUUAAGCAAAUUGCCAUUCAAAUGUUGAGUUCUUAACCUUUAGCGAACCAGAGGUUUUUCAGAGUAGCUAGAGUACUUCAAAAGGAUAUUUGAACUAGAAGCAGUCUAAGGUUUCUAAGCUAUAACUGGAACCGAUUUUCUUAUCUUUCAAAGAGAAUCAUGAAGCAAAGCCUGACAAAACACAGACUGGUGUGCAAUUGAAGUUUUUAGCCAUGAACAAUACCAGAGAUUUUUUACUGGUGGUUGGACCCCGGCAGAUAAAUGCCAAUUAGUGUUCCAGGGAUGAGGCUUGGAAGCUCAAGUCUAUAUGUUUGUUUGGUCCCGGGAAGGUAGUGAAUUUGAAGUCAAACAUCAAGCCAGCCUUCGGCAUAACCUUUCAGAUUGGAGUUGCUUCCUCGACUAAAUGCAUGUCAUGGUUAGAUAUGCAAGGAAACAUGGGAAAACAAAAUUUUAGUGGUUACCCUCAUAUUUGUGAAAAUUGUUCUAUCUUUGUCUGGACAUCAUAACAUCUUCUUCUACUUUUUGUUCAUAUUUUGAUUCUUGUAUCAGUUUUCUUUGAGUGAUAAUUUUGUUGUCAGAUCCCGACAACAAUCUCGGGAUAAGAAUGUUCAAGGCAGUGGAAAGCUUGUUUUUUGUUUAAAAA